AGAGUUUGAUCAUGGCUCAGGAUGAACGCUAGCGGCAGGCCUAACACAUGCAAGUCGAGGGGCAGCGGGGAAAAGCUUGCUUUUCCGCCGGCGACCGGCGCACGGGUGCGGAACGCGUAUGGAACCUGCCCCUGUCAGGGGAAUAGCCCAGGGAAACUUGGAUUAAUGCCCCAUGGUACCGCGAUAUCGCAUGAUAUUGUGGUUAAAGAUUUAUCGGACAGGGAUGGCCAUGCGUACCAUUAGCUUGAUGGUGGGGUAACGGCCCACCAUGGCAACGAUGGUUAGGGGCCCUGAGAGGGGGAUCCCCCACACUGGUACUGAGACACGGACCAGACUCCUACGGGAGGCAGCAGUGAGGAAUAUUGGACAAUGGUCGGGAGACUGAUCCAGCCAUGCCGCGUGCAGGAUGACUGCCCUAUGGGUUGUAAACUGCUUUUAUACGGGAAGAAACCACCCUACGUGUAGGGUGCUGACGGUACCGUAAGAAUAAGGACCGGCUAACUCCGUGCCAGCAGCCGCGGUAAUACGGAGGGUCCGAGCGUUAUCCGGAAUCAUUGGGUUUAAAGGGUCCGUAGGCGGGCCGUUAAGUCAGGGGUGAAGGUCUGCGGCUCAACCGUAGAA
rnacentral:rRNA from 1 species